rnacentral:sRNA from 1 species
ACUGAGUGACUGAACAACAAAUAACAACCAGCAACAACAAAGCUACUGAAUGCAUUUGACCUUGAGUAGUUUCAGGAGCACUUGAAGCAUGUCACAGAUCUGAAACCCUAGAUAGUGGUAAAAUGCUGAAUGUGUUUGACCGGGAGUUAGUGAAGCAGCCAGUGAAAUGUGUCAUAGCACUGAAACAAUGAAUGUCGAUAACCUAUAUGCUGCAUUUGACGUGGAGUGAAUCAAGAACCACUUGAAGUAUGUUUCACGACUGAAACACUGUAUGUUCACACUUUAGGCGGUCUUUCUUUGA